GACGAACGCUGGCGGCGUGCUUAACACAUGCAAGUCGAACGAAGAGCGAUGGAAGCUUGCUUCUAUCAAUCUUAGUGGCGAACGGGUGAGUAACGCGUAAUCAACCUGCCCUUCAGAGGGGGACAACAGUUGGAAACGACUGCUAAUACCGCAUACGAUCUAACCUCGGCAUCGAGGAUGGAUGAAAGGUGGCCUCUAUUUAUAAGCUAUCACUGCAGGAGGGGAUUGCGUCUGAUUAGCUAGUUGGAGGGGUAACGGCCCACCAAGGUGAUGAUCAGUAGCCGGUCUGAGAGGAUGAACGGCCACAUUGGGACUGAGACACGGCCCAGACUCCUACGGGAGGCAGCAGUGGGGAAUCUUCCGCAAUGGACGAAAGUCUGACGGAGCAACGCCGCGUGAGUGAUGACGGCCUUCGGGUUGUAAAGCUCUGUUAAUCGGGACGAAAGGCCUUCUUGCGAAUAGUUAGAAGGAUUGACGGUACCGGAAUAGAAAGCCACGGCUAACUACGUG
rnacentral:rRNA from 1 species